UACGGGGGGGGCAAGCGUUGUUCGGAAUUACUGGGCGUAAAGGGCGCGUAGGCGGCCUGCUAAGUCGGAUGUGAAAUCCCUCGGCUCAACCGAGGAACUGCAUCCGAUACUGGCGGGCUUGAAUCCGGGAGAGGGAUGUGGAAUUCCAGGUGUAGCGGUGAAAUGCGUAGAUAUCAGGAGGAACACCUGCGGUGUAGACGGCUUACUGGACCAUAACUGACGCUGAGGCACGAAAGCGUGGGUAGCAAACAGG
rnacentral:rRNA from 1 species